GACGAACGCUGGCGGCGUGCUUAACACAUGCAAGUCGAACGGAAAGGCCUGCUUUCCCUUGUGGAUUGCGGGUACUCGAGUGGCGAACGGGUGAGUAACACGUGAGUGAUCUGCCCCCAACUUGGGUAUAAGCCUGGGAAACUGGGUCUAAUUCCCGAUAGGACUGCAGGGUGGUGCCUGUGGUGGAAAACGAUUUUCUAGUGGUUGGGGAUGAGCUCGCGGCCUAUCAGCUUGUUGGUGGGGUAAUGGCCUACCAAGGCGGCGACGGGUAGCCGGCCUGAGAGGGUGGACGGCCACAUGGGGACUGAGAUACGGCCCAGACUCCUACGGGAGGCAGCAGUGGGGAAUAUUGCACAAUGGGCGGAAGCCUGAUGCAGCGACGCCGCGUGGGGGAUGACGGCCUUCGGGUUGUAAACUCCUUUCGACCGCGAGGAAGCCACCUGGUUGGAAGGGUGGUGACGGUAGUGGUAGAAGAAGCACCGGCUAACUACGUG
rnacentral:rRNA from 1 species